GGGUCGUUAGCUUAGUUGGUAGAGCAGUUGACUUUUAAUCAAUUGGUCGCAGGUUCGAAUCCUGCACGACCCACCA
rnacentral:tRNA from 4 species